rnacentral:rRNA from 1 species
CCUACGGGGGGCAGCAGUGAGGAAUAUUGGUCAAUGGGCGAGAGCCUGAACCAGCCAAGUCGCGUGAAGGAUGACGGCCCUACGGGUUGUAAACUUCUUUUGUCAGGGAGUAAUUGAGUCCACGUGUGGGCUUAGCGAGAGUACCUGAAGAAAAAGCAUCGGCUAACCCCGUGCCAGCAGCCGCGGUAAUACGGAGGAUGCGAGCGUUAUCCGGAUUUAUGGGGUUUAAAGGGUGCGUAGGGGGAAUAUCAAGUCGUGGGUAAAAAUUCGGGGCUCAACCCCGUCGGGCCGUUGAAACUGAUGUUCUUGGGUGGGCGGGAAGUAUGCGGAAUGCGUGGUGUAGCGGUGAAAGGCAUGGA